rnacentral:lncRNA from 1 species
AUGUCCCAAAGAGCAUGCCUCUUUCUCUCUCUAUCCUAUCCUACAGAACACAUCUCUCUCUAUCCUGUCCUACAAACCACGCCUCUCUCUCUAUCCUGUCCUACAGACCACGCCUCUCUCUUUAUCCUGUCCUACAGAACACGCCUCUCUCUCUCUAUCCUGUCCUACAGAACACAUCUCUCUCUAUCUUGUCCUACAAACCACGCCUUUCUCUCUAUCCUGUCCUACAGACCACACCUGUCUCUAUCCUGUCCUACAACCAGGCCUCCCUCUCUAUCCUGUCCUACAGACCAGGCCUCUUUCUAUCCUGUCCCACAAACAAGCCUCUCUCUAUCAUGUCCUACAAACCACGCCUCUCUAUCCUGUCCUACAGACCACACCUCUCUAUCCUGUCCCACAAACAAGCCUCUCUCUAUCAUGUCCUACAAACCACGCCUCUCUAUCCUGUCCUACAAACCACGCCUCUCUCUCUCCUGUCCUACAAAACCACGCCCUCUACUCUUCUGUCCUACAAACCACGCCUCUCUAUCUGUCCUACAGCACCACGCCUCUCUAUCCUGUCCUACAGACCGCUCUCUAUCCUGUCCUACAAACCAAGCCUCUCUAUCCUGUCCUACAGACCACGCCUCUCUAUCCUGUCCUACAAACCACGCCUCUCUAUCCUGUCCUACAGACCAUGCCUCUCUAUCCUGUCCUACAGACCACGCCUCUCUAUCCUGUCCUACAGACCACGCCUCUCUAUCCUGUCCUACAGACCAGCCUCUCUACCGUCCUACAGACCACGCCUCUCUAUCCUGUCCUACAGACCACGCCUCUCUAUCCUGUCCUACAGAACCACGGCCUCUCUAUCCUGUCCUACAGACCAGGCCCUUUCUAUCCUGUCCUACAGACCACGCCUCUCUUUCCUGUCUACAGACCACGCUCUCUAUCCUGUCCUACAGGACCACCGCCUCUCUAUCCUGUCCUACAGACCACGCCUCUAUAUCCUGUCCUACAGACCACGCCUCCUAUCCUGUCCUACAGACCAGGCCUCUCUCUAUCCUGUCCUACAGACCUAGGGCCUCUCUCUAUUCCUGUUCUACAAGACCACGCCUUCUCUAUCCUGUCCUACAGACCAGCGCUCUUCUAUCCUUGUCCUACAGACCAGCCUUCUCUAUCCUGUCCUACAGACCAGCCCUCUCUUUCCUGUCCUACAGACCAGGCCUCUCUCUAUUCCUGUCCUACAGACCACGCCUCUCUAUCCUGUCCUACAGACCAGGCCUCUCUCUUUCCUGUUCUACACAUGUACUAUAUAUACAGUUGAAGUCAGAAGUUUACAUACACCUUAGCCAAAUACAUAUAAACUCAGUUUUUCACAAUUCCUGA